rnacentral:misc_RNA from 1 species
GAUGAAGAACGCAGCGAAAUGCGAUAAGUAAUGUGAAUUGCAGAAUUCAGUGAAUCAUCGAAUCUUUGAACGCACCUUGCACCCUUUGGUAUUCCGAAGGGUAUGCUCGUUUGAGUGUCAUUGUACUCUCACACUUCUAAUUCCUUUCGGGAUUGGGAGCGGUGGACUUGGGUGUUGCUGCUUUAGUUGUGGCUCACCUCAAAUAAGUUAGUGCAACUCUUGGUUGGACAUAGUACGGUGUGAUAAGUGUCUUCGCCGGCGCCUCUGUAAGGAGGGUGGCCGAUCGGGAGCUCUGUGCUUCAAACCGUCUUCGGACAAUCUUUGACAACUUGACCUCAAAUCGAGUAGGACUACCCGCUGAACUUAAGCAUAUCAAUAAGCGGAGGA